rnacentral:lncRNA from 1 species
ACCCAGGACCAAAUGCCCAGCAUCUUUCUGAGCAAGCGGUAAACACUGCAGCAAGAAGCAAGCUAAUUCCCCUCCCUGGGGCAAUAGUCACAUCGUAGUUACACGUGGUCACACCUUCAUCUUCUUCAGUGUCAGGAGAUGGAGGAGCCUCGCAGUCUUGUCACAGACUGAUUUUGAAGUAGAAUUGCCUUCCUGUCUGUCUCAAAGCCAUGAGAGCUCCAUUGCUGGUGGCAGUUCGGUUCCCUCCUACUUGGCGGCGAUGGCUUCUGGCAACCUGGUUCCCAUCAGCAAAAGCCCUUACCAUAAAAUAGGACAUAUCUCAGUGCCUGCAUAUACACCGGUGGACGUACGGUUACGUCGUUCCUGAUGUUUCUGUCACAAACCUGCCUGCCCACGUAGGUGGGUGCCUUCAUUGCUACACGCUGAAGCAAGUGAAUUCAGGGAAGUAAAACCAAUUUUACUGUGAUUUUUGCGGGAGGUAUCAACAGAUUGCCCUCCUGAAAGGUUUACCCAUUUAUUCUUGGUUUGGACCCUCGUCCAUUUAAAUCCGGUGACAAUGCUGAUUCUUGGUUGAUGGGAAUAAAUCGAGAAUGUAGAUAAAUGUGUCUGUGGCC